rnacentral:rRNA from 1 species
UACGUAGGUGGCAAGCGUUGUCCGGAUUUACUGGGCGUAAAGAGCGCGCAGGCGGUCGUACAAGUCGCGUGUGAAAGCCCCCGGCUCAACUGGGGAGGGUCACGCGAUACUGUUCGACUCGAAGGCAGGAGAGGGAAGCAGAAUUCCCGGUGUAGUGGUGAAAUGCGUAGAGAUGUGGAGGAACACCGAUGGCGAAGGCAGCCUCCUGGGCCAGCACUGACGCUCAUGCACGAAAGCGUGGGGAGCAAACAGG